AACCCUGCAGCAGUAGAUAGUAUAUUAGGAACAAAAUGAUUGAUUAUCAAUGCAUGAAUCCAGCUCAUUUGUUUUCCAUGCAACAUUUUCAGUCAUUAUGUCCCUGCAGGCUCUACAUUAUUUAGAACAGUAAAAUCUUUCACAGUAACUUCUCCAUCACAAGAUGGAUCACAUCACACAGGACGCUCAGACGCAGAUGCUCUUGUGUUCUCCAGCGCCUGGAUAGCAUGUUGAAAUCCUGCAAAGUAUUAGUGUCACAUGGGCUGCUCAGGAUGCAGAGCGUGUUGGCAUAAUCUGACGGGGAACAAGAUGACUCUGGGAAUCAGUACUUCUGAAGGGCAUGACGGGAAUUAGUCACGAAACACCUGCUCUGCCUUGAUAACACUUUACUUUUGUCUGUCAGAAUAACGUCCUGCAACACUUUGUGAUGUCACAAUUGAACACUGAACGUUCCAACCACUGAUCUAUAUAUAAUGACUCUCUAUUAUAGAUCAGUGGUUCCUACACAAACGUAUAAUUAGAAUGAGGCAUAUCACACUGCAGUGAUUUUAGAUUGUACACCACAGUGUUUUAGCAUGCAAGAUGUGUCACUGUGAAUGCAUUUAAGUACCAGUUGUCAUCUAAAGGAUCUAAAGUGUGUCAUAUUUUUGGCCAUUUGUUGCAUAUUUUUGAAAAUAGAUUUUAAAUAUAUAUUUUAAAAAGCAUUUAAAAAUAUAUUUUGUUCUCCAUAUUUUUCAGACUAAGAAAAUACAUGCAUGUCACAUUUGAAUAAUUUUU